rnacentral:lncRNA from 1 species
AGGGUCUUGAAAAAGUUAGGGGACCGAGGGAAGGCGAGAUCACUCUCUGAGUCGGCAAUGGAGCAAGGGUUGCUGCUGUGGCUGUUGGAAUCUACCCUCUGCGACUAUCAUUAUGAUUUAGUUUAUUUUUGAAAGACUGUUACUUUGUACCUAUGGUCAGUAGAAAUUUGAUUUCUAUCUCUAUGCUGGCACAGGAUAAUUACAAUUUCUAUUUCAAUAAAGACA